GAGGGAGGACGCGCGGGCGCCAGUCGGGGGACCCUUGCCGGGAGCCGGGCGGAAAAGGACGGGCCCGGAGCUGGCGGGGAGGAGACGGGAAGGAGCGCGGCGCCCGCCCCCACCACCGUUUCGCUGCCCCUUGUGGUGCCCCGCCAGAGGGAGACGCGAGUCGGGCCCUGGCGUCGGGGCAGCGGAGCCGACGUGGCCCGCGGGGUCCCAGCGCCGCGCCCGGGAGCAUUGCAGCCGCCCGCGCCCAGUCCAGCCAAGCCGGGACACUGCCCUGGGGUUCGGCGGUGGAGCUUUUCAGGGUCUCUGCCCCCUGCCCCCCACCCCCCGGUCGCACCCCGGGCACACGUUCUUAGGGCCUCUUCGUCCUGGUGUUUCCGUCUCCGGAGAUACAGAGGCCAUUCCUCUCCGACGACUCCCACCCCUUUGGAACCGGGUUUAGCUAAAGUGACUACAGGGCUGGAUCCGAAAAUGAACACCUCCUGCGCCGGGUCUAUGCAGCCUACUCCUCGCGCGUUAGCGAAGAAAUGCGCUUCGGCCUGGGAGGGCGCGCCAGAGUCCGUCUUCCUGGCCAGUUUUGUGUGGUGGAAAGGAAUGACUGCUGAUGCCGGCCGGGUGACUUGGAUUUUAAUUCUAGCUGUUUUCAGUUAGCUCUGCGCUUCAGCGGACUCCUCUGUUAACGGAAAAGGUUAUCCUAGGGGAGCCUUUCAGCCUCCAAAAUGCGGGAUGCUCUGGCCUCUGCAGAGGCCACAGCCCAGCCCCUGCGCUCCCAUUUCAAACUAUGAGCCUGAGAUUAAUCAGCCACCUUCUCCUGAGUCCUCAACACCCUUAUUUAGGCUGUUUGUUUCCAUUGCUUAAUUAUUGACUCCAACGAGUGCUACCUUAACCCAUCCUGCCGGCCCGAAGUCUAGUGUGGGGAGCCCGAGAGCGGAGGGCCUGUGCCAUCCCUGGAAGAACCCUUCCUCCAGCUUUAGUCUCUCUCUCUAAGAAAUCCAGCCAUCAAGUGGUUUAAAAGAAAGUGUCUACUUUAGAAGCUUUGGUCGUUUGCUGAAAUAGCCACCCUUUCAGUGCUAGCCCUUGGGCUGGAAUUUAAGUCCAGGGGUCUGAUCGAGCCAGAAAGUAGGUGUCAGCGUGGCUUCCGGAAGUCCGUUGUCACUUGGAUUUGACAAGGGACAAGCCGACCUGCUGGUUUCUGGGCUCCUGCUCGCUGUGCGCUCUGCGCUGUCUGCAGGGAUUGGUGCCCGCGGAGUGCGCUUUGUCUGGAGAAACUCAGUGCUCGAAGAGUGAGGAGACCGGGAGGAAACCUUCCCCCUGCAAAGCUUAUCUCCCUUCCCUCUCAUCAGAGGCGGGGCCCCGCAAGACACAAGGGAUUUCCCCGCAGAAUGAACCAAGGCCUCCCCAGGACAUGGGGACAGUUCUGCUGUGCAAAGCCUGAAUUCACGUUUCUUUCCUAAAGUGGCUCCCAGUCUCUCUGCAGCCUUGGCCUCUCUUUGAAUCCCAACCCUGACUUCCCUGGUGUCUGUUGGCCACUCCCUUCUGGGAGCCGGCAGGUGAAACCCUGACCUGUGAGCCCGGCCUGGGGCUCUCCAGGCUCUGGGCCCCCUACCCUCCCGAUCUGUGGCCCUCACUCCUCCUGGGCGAGGCUGUUUGUGACGCGGUGUGUCCAAAUGCACACAAGCCGCAAACCAAACUUAAAAAAGCGUAGAGGACACAUUCUCUUCUCCUACCUUAAAAAAUACACCAUGGUAUCUGGAAAGCCAGGUUCCAGUUUAGAAUUCUCAGGCUAGGCCGGGCACAGUGGUUCACGCCUGUAAUCCCAAAACUUCCAAAGCUGACAUGGCAGGAUUGCUUGAGCCCAGGACCUCGAGACCAGCCUGGGCAUUAUAGUGAGACCCUUGUCUCUACAAAAAGUUAAAAAAUUAGCCAGGCAUGGUGGUACAUGCCUGUACCCAGCUACUCCAGAGUCUGAGGUGGGAGGAUUGAUUGCUUGAACCUGGGAGGUGGAGGUUGCUGUGAGCUGUGAUCAUGUCACUGCACUCCAGCCAGGGUGACAGAGUGAGACCGCGUCUCAAUAAAAAUAAAAUAAAAUAAAAUAAAAAAGAAAUCGGUAG
rnacentral:lncRNA from 1 species